AUUGAACGCUGGCGGCAUUGCCUUACACAUGCAAGUCGAACGGCAGCACGGGAGCAAUCCUGGUGGCGAGUGGCGAACGGGUGAGUAAUAUAUCGGAACGUGCCCAGUCGUGGGGGAUAACGUAGCGAAAGCUACGCUAAUACCGCAUACGAUCUAUGGAUGAAAGCGGGGAUCGCAAGACCUCGCGCGAUUGGAGCGGCCGAUAUCAGAUUAGGUAGUUGGUGAGGUAAAGGCUCACCAAGCCGACGAUCUGUAGCUGGUCUGAGAGGACGACCAGCCACACUGGGACUGAGACACGGCCCAGACUCCUACGGGAGGCAGCAGUGGGGAAUUUUGGACAAUGGGCGCAAGCCUGAUCCAGCAAUGCCGCGUGCAGGAUGAAGGCCUUCGGGUUGUAAACUGCUUUUGUACGGAACGAAACGGUGAGCUCUAAUACAGUUUGCUAAUGACGGUACCGUAAGAAUAAGCACCGGCUAACUACGUG
rnacentral:rRNA from 1 species